AGCAGCCGCGGUAAUUCCAGCUCCAAUAGCGUAUAUUAAAGUUGUUGCAGUUAAAAAGCUCGUAGUUGAAUUUCGGGGUCAAUACGUCGGUCGUGCCUUCGGUAUGUACUGGCUUUGCUGAUUCCUCCUUCUUGAAGAACUGUGAUGCUAUUAAUUUGGUGUUGCAAGGGAAACAGGACUGUUACUUUGAAAAAAUUAAGAGUGUUUAAAGCAGGCUAACGCUUGAAUACAUUAGCAUGGAAUAAUGAAAUAGGACGUUUGAUCCUAUUUUGUUGGUUUCUAGGAUUGACGUAAUGAUUAAUAGGGAUAGUUGGGGGCGAUUAGUAUUCAAUUGUCAGAGGUGAAAUUCUUGGAUUUAUUGAAGACUAACUACUGCGAAAGCAUUUGCCAAGGAUGUUUUCAUUAAUCAAGAACGAAAGUUAGGGGAUCGAAGACGAUCAGAUACCGUCG
rnacentral:rRNA from 1 species